AUUGAACGCUGGCGGCAGGCCUAACACAUGCAAGUCGAGCGGAGCGGCGGACGGGUGAGUAAUGCCUAGGAGUCUGCCUGGUAGUGGGGGCUAACGUCCGGAAACGGGCGCUAAUCCCGCAUACGCUCAAAUGAGUUUAGGUGGGAUUAGCUAGUUGGUGGGGUAAAGGCCUACCAAGGCAACGAUCCGUAACUGGUCUGAGAGGAUGAUCAGUCACACUGGAACUGAGACACGGUCCAGACUCCUACGGGAGGCAGCAGUGGGGAAUAGUGGACAAUGGGCGAAAGCCUGAUGCAGCCAUGCCGCGUGUGUGAAGAAGGUCUUCGGAUUGUAAAGCACUUUAAGUUGGGAGGCGUUACCAACAGAAUAAGCACCGGCUAACUUCGUGCCAGCAGCCGCGGUAAUAC
rnacentral:rRNA from 1 species